rnacentral:rRNA from 1 species
UACGGGGGGAGCAAGCGUUGUUCGGAUUUACUGGGCGUAAAGGGCGCGUAGGCGGCCAGCACAAGUCAGUUGUGAAAUCUCCGAGCUUAACUCGGAAAGGUCAACUGAUACUGUGCGGCUAGAGUGCGGAAGGGGCAACUGGAAUUCUUGGUGUAGCGGCGAAAUGCGUAGAUAUCAAGAGGAACACCUGCGGCGAAGGCGGGUUGCUGGGCCGACACUGACGCUGAGGCGCGAAAGCCAGGGGAGCGAACGGG